CUUUACAGUACUACCAAUCCGUCCGCCACCGCCAGUCCAUACUCCUCCACUUUAAUCGGUUUGUCGAAAUGCAGUCUGUUGUGAGGAUCUUCUAUUUGUGGGUCCAGUAGUCGUCACGGUGGUUGUCUCAGAAGGAAGUGAUGCCAUGUUACCCUGCUCCCUCAGCACCAGUCACAGCCUUGAACAAAAGCUCUUUGAUUGUGGGGGGAAAAAGCACCAAAUAAACAGGAGGUGUUCAUGUAUGAUGGAGGCCGUCAUUACAAUAACGGCCUUCCAGGUCAAGACGAGCACUUCAGAGGACGGGUCUCACAUUUCCCACAAGAGCUGCAGUUUGGUAACACCUCCAUCAUCAUCAGAAACACCACGGUGGCUGACAGUGGAGUCCACACCUGUUAUUUUCCACAUCUGCAGCCAGAACAAACAUUCAGCAUUAAACUUGCUGUUGGUCCAGUAGUCGUCAGAGUGAAUGUCUCAGAAGAAAGUGAUGCCAUUUUACCCUGCUCCCUCGGCACCAGUCAGAACCUUGAACAGAAGCUCUUUGAUUGUGGGGGGAAAAAGCACCAAAUAAACAGGAGGUGUUCAUGUAUGAUGGAGGCCGUCAUUACAAUAACGGCCUUCCAGGUCAAGACGAGCACUUCAGAGGACGGGUCUCACAUUUCCCACAAGAGCUGCAGUUUGGUAACACCUCCAUCAUCAUCAGAAACACCACGGUGGCUGACAGUGGAGUCCACACCUGUUAUUUUCCACAUCUGCAGCCAGAACAAACAUUCAGCAUUAAACUUGCUGUUGGUCCAGUAGUCGUCAGAGUGAAUGUCUCAGAAGAAAGUGAUGCCAUUUUACCCUGCUCCCUCGGCACCAGUCAGAACCUUGAACAGAAGCUCUUUGAUUGUGGGGGGAAAAAGCACCAAAUAAACAGGAGGUGUUCAUGUAUGAUGGAGGCCGUCAUUACAAUAACGGCCUUCCAGGUCAAGACGAGCACUUCAGAGGACGGGUCUCACAUUUCCCACAAGAGCUGCAGUUUGGUAACACCUCCAUCAUCAUCAGAAACACCACGGUGGCUGACAGUGGAGUCCACACCUGUUAUUUUCCACAUCUGCAGCCAGAACAAACAUUCAGCAUUAAACUUGCUGUUGGUCCAGUAGUCGUCAGAGUGAAUGUCUCAGAAGAAAGUGAUGCCAUUUUACCCUGCUCCCUCGGCACCAGUCAGAACCUUGAACAGAAGCUCUUUGAUUGUGGGGGGAAAAAGCACCAAAUAAACAGGAGGUGUUCAUGUAUGAUGGAGGCCGUCAUUACAAUAACGGCCUUCCAGGUCAAGACGAGCACUUCAGAGGACGGGUCUCACAUUUCCCACAAGAGCUGCAGUUUGGUAACACCUCCAUCAUCAUCAGAAACACCACGGUGGCUGACAGUGGAGUCCACACCUGUUAUUUUCCACAUCUGCAGCCAGAACAAACAUUCAGCAUUAAACUUGCUGUUGAUGGAGGAUCACUGACAGGAGCGUGGGAAGACUCCAGAAUCCACUCUGGCUGGAAUCCGGUGGAUACAGCAGUGUUUACAGAACAGUUCUCCACAGUCACUGUCCACAUGGGUCAGUGGGACCAAGCAGCACUCUGCUAAUGUGUGGACUCUGACCAGCAACAUCCAGCAAGACCCAGGCAGCGUUUUCUAUCUCCCAGCUGGAGUUUUUUGUUUGUCUGUGACUGGAGAGUCAGAUUUUUGUUGAAGCUGGAGGAACAGCCUCACACUUGCAGAGGUUAAUACACGCUACUGAUCUCUGAUGGGAGAAUCAUCACCUCUGCCAACAAAGAAGCCUGGUGGAUAUUUGUUUGCAGUCUGAUGGGACCUCAUGCUCUGCAUCUUCAAAGUGUGUCUCUUGAUUAUUAUUCAUACACAGUAAUGUGAAUUAUGCUUAUAUCUAGUAUAACUGGACCAACCUGGUGCUCUUCAUUUAUGGAGGCUGUUGAGUCUGAAUGUUGGAUGUUGUGUAUCUCGUGUUCUCUGGGCUUUGUUGUCCUCAGUCUGUUUGCAGGAUCAGAAAACAAAACCAGGAGGCCUGUAAAUGUUUCUUCUCCAAUUGGAUGAUGAUAAGACCGUGACACAGUAUGCCACCUUUAGUCUUGUGAUGAAGCAAAGCUCAGGACGAAGUAUGAUUAAAUGGUACCCACAUGUGUGCUGCUGAGAAGGAUGUACAGGGGCACCUGCAGCCAAAUCCAAGCCUCCUCAGAGCAGAGCGGCAGUUUGUGCUCACAGAUGGUGACGGUGUGGAGAGAAGGUGGUGUUUCCUCAGAAGAACCAGCAGAGUCACCAAGGGCACGAGUCCAUCUCACCACCUUGACUUGCUGACUGAUGCCCGUCUGCACUGCACAGAGGAAAUCAACUGACCGAGGAGUGUUUCUGAGUGAGGGAGAGAGGAGUCAUCAUCCAGGUAAAGUGACGUGGAUCAGUGGACACACUUGUCUCCCCUUUAAAGGAGAUACUCUUAGAGAGAGACGAUCCGAGUCAUCCCUAAAUAUGGGCAGGAUAUCAGUCUUGGACUGUCUAACCUGCCGGAGCAGCACUGAAUGACCACCACACAUGAGCAUGUUCCUGCAACAUUCAGCAGCUUUGCUUUUGUGUCAAAUGUCCAACAGCUGGAGAGGAAACUAAACCAGUGUACUGGGAUGUUUCACCAACGCGUGCCAGAUGCUGUUCCUUCAUGGUGACAUCACCAGAGACAGCCCCGCCCACGUCAGGACCUCGCCAUUGAUCAUGAUGAUUAUAAUCGGAACUAAGACUGUACAAAUCCACGACCUGAAUGUUUAGAUGCUUUCUAAUUAUUCAUGAAUACUGAGAGCCUCUUUCUGUGUUUUGUCUGUUUUGGGUUUGUUUUUUGUUUUUGUUUUUUUGUUUUUGUUUUUUUUAAACCUCAUUUGUUACUAACAAAGUUCACCAAACUCACACAGUUUACAUUCUGUAUGUUUCCAUCUUUACCAGCCACACUCUACCUGCAUUUAGAAAACAAACCUUAGAAAUCGUCGUUUUUCUCUUUUGUAAUUCAGUGAAUAUACUGCGCUGCUUCCUUUUAUUGCGUCACACAUUGCUUUAAGUUUUUCAGUGUCCAGUUAUUUUUUUUACUGCUGUUUGAAUUCUCUGUAUGUUUGACCCUGUAGACUGUUUAAUGGACUGCUUGUCUUCCUGUUUGUAACCGCCGCCUGUUUUUGACUAAAGAUUUGGAUUUCUGACUUUAA